CCACCCCACCCCCCCUCUUUCAACCUCACCCCCUCUGCUGCCCCUUUAAGAGCUAUAACUCUUAUUUUUCGCAAACCUGCGGAAUCCGGUCUCGCGCUGGACACUGCAAGGGAUGCAGGGUCAAGGUCGCAUCCCUGAAUUGCAAGGUGAUUGUUUUCAGAUCAAAUACCGACAUUAUUCAAUUACGAUACAAAAUAAAGAAUGAACACAUGACAAGAAAGGAUUUUAAGGUACGGUACAAUUCUGCAAGAAUGCACUUUAUUAUUAUUAUUAUUAUUAUUAUUAUUAUUACAAAUAUAUUUGUGUUACCUAAACUAUAAACCACGUUUCCUCUGCUCCUGGUUAAAUGUUAUCUUUAUUAUUAUAAUCGUUAUUGCCAUUUUAAACAUUUCCUUUAUUAAUGUGAAAUUUUAUUUAUUUCCCGCAACCUCCCCCAUCUUCCAUGCAGUUAUUCUCGACACCAUUAAUUUAGAUCCAUCAAUAGGUAUAAGGUCAAAUGAAAAAGUGCAUUUGGUUUUACGCAGAUGAUUUAGCACCCCGUGUACGCGGUGACUCCCGUUUCAUAUGUUGCCCAAUGUCGCACGCUGCUGCAGUCCUCUCAACGCUCAGUACUCUCGGCUGAAAAUAAGACCAGAAGUCCUGUACUCCAGCGGGUGGUUACGGUACAGGAUUUGCUGUUCUUAAGAACAGAAAUAAACACAAACCUUUCACAUUUACAAAAACUUGAUUUCUACUUCCAUGUGCCAAAUCACCCUUGUGCUACCUAGUGUGAUCCGACUUCUUAUUUACUUUAGCGGUGUAAACAAUAAACAAGAUAAAAGGUAGCGUCAAGGGGAAAAAAAAGAUCAUCUAAUAUGGAUUCUCAGGGCGCUGGAGUCUGGACCGGGAGCCAGGAAUGAGGUCCCCACGUGGACCAGAAGACACGCGAGGGGAGACCGUGGAAAACAAUGGGAUCUGUGAUUGAGCGCUGGUUUAAUGAACUGCCAUACAUGCAGCUCUGGACAUUAACAGGUUGUCAUCUUUGCCUUCCCAGGGAGCGCGCUCGAAAUCCCAGAGCAUGCUUAACAAUUCCAUUACCGCUAAGAACACCCACAGUAUCUUUUGAAGCUGGCGUAUUAGGGCUUUAUUGACAUGCGCUCAAAAUUGUUACCACUUGGCCCUCCUCUCUUCUGCAAUCCACAGUUGAGAAUAAUAAACCCAUUCUCUGCCGCUAACUCGUAGCUUGGGGCAUGCAUUUUAAAGCUUUCAUAGUUUGUUGAAACAAAGAAGGUCCAGCGCCCCCCCCACACCCCACUCCCUCCCACCCGACCUCUGGAAGUUCUGCCUAUUUGCCUGUCUGUUUAUUAAACAACGUUAUUACAUGUAAGUGUUUUUCUUUGGGUAUCUCAAGAUUUCCAUCAGCAAGAAUAUUUUUUUGUAAUACUUUAGAUUGCUUGCUGUCCCACAAACAGUAGGCAAAAUUACUCAAAGCAAGAGGAACCAUACACAGUAAUGUAUUUUUAAACUAAACGAUUUUACAACACAUUUGGUGUAUGUGUGUGUGUGUGUCAGGCAGUAAAAUACUGCAUAUAGCAAUAGAAGACAUUUAGUCUAACACAACCACUUCUUCCUUCACAGCUGUAAUUGAUACAGUAUAUUAAAUAUUGCUCUUCAAA